rnacentral:rRNA from 1 species
CCUACGGGUGGCAGCAGUGGGGAAUAUUGCGCAAUGGGCGCAAGCCUGACGCAGCGACGCCGCGUGAGGGAUGAAUGUCUUCGGAUCGUAAACCUCUGUCAGCAGGGAAGUACGGUCACUGUGCUAAUCAUCAGUGAAUUGACGGUAUCUGCAAAGGAAGCACCGGCUAACUCCGUGCCAGCAGCCGCGGUAAUACGGAGGGUGCGAGCGUUAAUCGGAAUUACUGGGCGUAAAGCGCUCGUAGGCGGUAUGUCAAGUCAAGGGUGAAGUCCCCGCGCUCAACGUGGGAACUGCAUUUGAAACUGGCAAACUUGAGUGUGUGAGAGGAUAGUGGAAUUCCAGGUGUAGGAGUGAAAUCCGUAGAUAUCUGGAGGAACAUCAGUGGCGAAGGCGACUAUCUGGCACAUAACUGACGCUGAGGAGCGAAAGCGUGGGUAGCAAACAGGAUUAGAUACCCCUGUAGUC